rnacentral:piRNA from 1 species
UGGGUCUGGGAUACUCUUUAU